rnacentral:rRNA from 1 species
GACGAACGCUGGCGGCGUGCUUAACACAUGCAAGUCGAACGAAGUGGCGAACGGGUGAGUAACGCGUAAUCAACCUGCCCUUCAGAGGGGGACAACACUUGGAAACAGGUGCUAAUACCGCAUACUGAAGGAGGGGAUUGCGUCUGAUUAGCUGGUUGGGGGGGUAACGGUCAACCAAGGCGAUGAUUGGUAGCCGGUCUGGGAGGAUGAACGUCCACAUUGUGACUGAGACACGUCCCAGACUCCUACGGGAGGCAGCAGUGGCGAAUCUUCCGCAAUGGACGAAAGUCUGACGGAGCAACGCCGCGUGAGUGAUUACGGCCUUCGGGUUGUAAAGCUCUGUUAAUCGGGACGCGGUACCGGAAUAGAAAGCCACGGCUAACUACGUGCCAGCAGCCGCGGUAAUAC